UUGCAGUCAUCAUCAGAAUCUUCUAUUAAACCUUGCUGAAGUUGGGAAUCAUUGUUAGAUACAGCUGCUGAAUCUAGAAAUGAUCCAAUUUGCAGACUCCUUUCAAUUUGCUAAGAAGAUCCCCCUGAAGCACCUGAUUCCCCAUGAUAGCAGUUCUGCUGUCCAGUAUUUUCCUCACAACCCAAGAGGCUGACUUAGGAAUGGUCAUUGUUUCAAUGUCAACCUGCUUGAUAUAGUAACUGUGCACCCAUUUUAUCCAGAGGCAGUCUUCCUUUCUGGCUAAAUCCCAG
rnacentral:lncRNA from 1 species